GUCUUGUACAGAAAUAAACCCUUCUCCAGGAUUUAACAAAGCUCUCACAGUACUUUAAUCAUUCUCUACGGAGUUAAAAGUUGUUGAACAGCUUACAGACCAGUUUUGUAAUGAUACUGAUAUACUCCUAGAAGAAAAGACUAAAGAACUACUAAGAAAGUGAAAGCUUAUUUAUUCCUGAAGAAAAAUGAAAUGGUGAUCCUGUUAUGAGAUGUCUCUUUUAUCAAUGAAAGCUGUAAAUAGAUUGGCAUCGUUCUGAAAA